rnacentral:rRNA from 1 species
GCCUAAUACAUGCAAGUUCGAGGCGGGAAAAGAAUGGGAGCUUUGCUCCCUGAUGUUAGCGGCGGACGGGUGAGUAACACGUGGGUAACCUGCCUGUAAGACUGGGAUAACUCCGGGAAACCGGGGCUAAUACCGGAUGGUUGUCUGAACCGCAUGGUUCAGACAUAAAAGGUGGCUUCGGCUACCACUUACAGAUGGACCCGCGGCGCAUUAGCUAGUUGGUGAGGUAACGGCUCACCAAGGCGACGAUGCGUAGCCGACCUGAGAGGGUGAUCGGCCACACUGGGACUGAGACACGGCCCAGACUCCUACGGGAGGCAGCAGUAGGGAAUCUUCCGCAAUGGACGAAAGUCUGACGGAGCAACGCCGCGUGAGUGAUGAAGGUUUUCGGAUCGUAAAGCUCUGUUGUUAGGGAAGAACAAGUGCCGUUCAAAUAGGGCGGCGCCUUGACGGUACCUAACCAGAAAGCCACGGCUAACUACGUGCCAGCACCCGCGGUAAUACGGAGGUGGCAAGCGUUGUCCGGAUUUAUUGGGCGUAAAGGGCUCGCAGGCGGUUUCUUAAGUCUGAUGUGAAAGCCCCCGGCUCCACCGGGGAGGGUCAUUGGAAACUGGGGAACUUGAGUGCAGAAGAGGAGAGUGGAAUUCCACGUGUAGCGGUGAAAUGCGUAGAGAUGUGGAGGAACACCAGUGGCGAAGGCGACUCUCUGGUCUGUAACUGACGCUUGAGGGGGCGAAA